rnacentral:rRNA from 1 species
UACGUAGGGUGCAAGCGUUGUCCGGAAUUAUUGGGCGUAAAGAGCUCGUAGGCGGUCUGUCGCGUCUGCUGUGAAAACCUAGGGCUUAACUCUGGGCGUGCAGUGGGUACGGGCAGACUAGAGUGCGGUAGGGGAGACUGGAAUUCCUGGUGUAGCGGUGAAAUGCGCAGAUAUCAGGAGGAACACCGGUGGCGAAGGCGGGUCUCUGGGCCGUAACUGACGCUGGAGGAGCGAAAGCAUGGGGAGCGAACAGG